rnacentral:snoRNA from 2 species
ACCCUCUCAGGGUGGCACCUGGAGAGUUUCCAGUACUCUACCAGUCUUCACUACAGGAGGGAGAGUCAAGCAGAGGCAUGCCCAUUCCAUUCUUAGCUUGGCCAGUGUCCAGUGAGCGGAAGGCAAUCUGCUAAAAGU